GUGUUUCUUCUAAAUUCGCUUGCGACUAACUCCGGUGAAGGAUUAAAAUAGAUUGUGCUUCUAGAAAAUUUAUUAACGAUAUAUAAUUAUAAAAGUGAAGAAGAAAAAGGACAAAGAUUAGUCAUGUAGAUAUCAUUAUUGAGGAUUCACAAGACUUGCUUAUGUCCCUUUUGCCCUUUACACAUUUGUUUCUGUCUACUCUUGUAGAUUCUCCACAUAAAUGAUAACAUGUGUUCUCUUGUUUCUG